rnacentral:rRNA from 1 species
AACGAACGCUGGCGGCAUGCCUAACACAUGCAAGUCGAACGAAGCCUUCGGGCUUAGUGGCGCACGGGUGCGUAACGCGUGGGAAUCUGCCCUUGGGCUCGGAAUAACAGUUAGAAAUGACUGCUAAUACCGAAUGAUGUCUUCGGACCAAAGAUUUAUCGCCCAAGGAUGAGCCCGCGUCGGAUUAGCUAGUUGGUGAGGUAAAGGCUCACCAAGGCGACGAUCCGUAGCUGGUCUGAGAGGAUGAUCAGCCACACUGGGACUGAGACACGGCCCAGACUCCUACGGGAGGCAGCAGUGGGGAAUAUUGGACAAUGGGCGAAAGCCUGAUCCAGCAAUGCCGCGUGAGUGAUGAAGGCCUUAGGGUUGUAAAGCUCUUUUACCCGGGAUGAUAAUGACAGUACCGGGAGAAUAAGCCCCGGCUAACUCCGUGCCAGCAGCCGCGGUAAU